ensembl:snoRNA SNORD22 Small nucleolar RNA SNORD22
ACCCAGUGGAGAGACAUUCACAUGCCUUAUUUCUUGGUCAGCCCCAGAGCCUGAAAAGGUGAACCUGUUGGUGCAAAACAAAUAAUAAUAACAGGAAAUAUAUUCCAGAAGAAACUGUCUGAGGGUU